rnacentral:rRNA from 1 species
AGAGUUUGAUCAUGGCUCAGGACGAACGCUGGCGGCGUGCCUAAUACAUGCAAGUCGAGCGAAUCUUUGGGAGCUUGCUCCCAAAGGUUAGCGGCGGACGGGUGAGUAACACGUGGGUAACCUGCCUGUAAGACUGGGAUAACUUCGGGAAACCGGAGCUAAUACCGGAUAGUUUCUUUUCUCGCAUGAGAGAGGAUGGAAAGAUGGUUUACGCUAUCACUUACAGAUGGACCCGCGGCGCAUUAGCUAGUUGGUGAGGUAAUGGCUCACCAAGGCAACGAUGCGUAGCCGACCUGAGAGGGUGAUCGGCCACACUGGGGCUGAGACACGGCCCAGACUCCUACGGGACGCAGCAG